UACGAAGGGGGCUAGCGUUGCUCGGAAUUACUGGGCGUAAAGGGCGCGUAGGCGGACGGUUCAAGUCGGGGGUGAAAGCCCGGGGCUCAACCUCGGAAUUGCCUUCGAUACUGGCUGUCUUGAGUGUGAGAGAGGUGUGUGGAACUCCGAGUGUAGAGGUGAAAUUCGUAGAUAUUCGGAAGAACACCAGUGGCGAAGGCGACACACUGGCUCACUACUGACGCUGAGGCGCGAAAGCGUGGGGAGCAAACAGG
rnacentral:rRNA from 1 species